GUGGCUGGAGCCACUUCUUCCCAAGAGUAGGAGAAGAUGCAUGGCCCCUGAGCAAGGAUGACAUGCAAAUUCGUGAACUGUUUCAUAGUUUU
ensembl:snRNA U6 U6 spliceosomal RNA